rnacentral:rRNA from 1 species
AGGACGAACGCUGGCGGCGUGCUUAACACAUGCAAGUCGAACGGAGUUACGUUUUCGGAUGUAACUUAGUGGCGAACGGGUGAGUAACGCGUGAGGAACCUGCCUUUCAGUGGGGGACAACAGUUGGAAACGACUGCUAAUACCGCAUGAUACUAUAGUACCGCAUGGUACAUUAGUCAAAGAUUUAUUGCUGAAAGAUGGCCUCGCGUCUGAUUAGCUAGUUGGUGGGGUAACGGCCCACCAAGGCGACGAUCAGUAGCCGGACUGAGAGGUUGACCGGCCACAUUGGGACUGAGAUACGGCCCAGACUCCUACGGGAGGCAGCAGUGGGGAAUAUUGGGCAAUGGGCGAAAGCCUGACCCAGCAACGCCGCGUGAAGGAAGAAGGCCUUCGGGUUGUAAACUUCUUUUACCAGGGACGAACACAAUGACGGUACCUGGAGAAAAAGCAACGGCUAACUACGUG